CUUAAAGGGACACAGUAGGCAGUAUGACCAUUUCAUUUUAUUGAAUUAGUUAAAGUGUCUGGAGUCCCUUGGCACUGUCCCUCCAUUCAAUGUUAAACCUUUUUUGAAACAGUUUAAAAAUUGAAUGCGGUAAAACAGAAGAAAAGAAACAGGAUUAACUCCACUUAAAACCAGGUGCGCCGAAUCAGGACCAGCAAAUCCAAACCACGUAUGAUAAAAUAAGAAAAUAUCUUCAGGCACUCACAGAAUUAAAGCCAUAGGCAGAUUUAUUGGAUCAGAAAAGCAAAGCAUCGUUUCGACCUUGAUAAAG